GAACAAGGCCAGAGAGAGCCUGAAGGAUGGGGAGAGUAUGUUAUCAGGUUGGCUUCUAGCUUUAAGGCAAGAAUUCAGCUCAGCAUUGGUUCACUAGAAGCACCUGGGUGGGAAAUUACCCAGAACAGCUGGCUGGUGCAUAAGAGGAAGGCAGGGUUUUUUUGUUUGUUUGUUGGAACCUCAAUGUAGGCAUAGACUGCAUAAAUUGGCUAAAUUGGGAUAUUCUCUAUGCUUUUCCUGGAGUUCCCGCAAUGGAAAGAAGAAACUGGCCGCCAGGAUGACAUUUGCGAAAGUAUGGAAAUUAGAGGAAACUCCGAAGAAAGACACUUGGAUGUAUAAAUUAGAAGAAAUACACAGCAUGGACAAACUUAUGUUCCUUCUGAAAGAAACAAGAGGAAAAUAUCAUUGCCAUGAAGUGUCCAGUUUGUGACUACUGUAAAUUCUCCAGUGUUCAACAGACUUUAUGUUUCUUCAGGAAGGAAACUGCUGACAAGAUAAAAGCUCAUUUUUAAAAUUAAA